rnacentral:lncRNA from 10 species
UUAACAGCUGACAUUUAUUGAGUACUUAUUAUGGGCUUGACAGUUUUAUAAGUGCUUUACGUGGAUGGAGACCUUUAAUGCUCACAACAGCCUUGUGAGGUCAUGGAGUCUUGUCACCCAGGCUGGAGUGCAGUGGUGCGACCUUGGCUCACUGCAACCUCUGCCUCCCGGGUUCAAGUGAUUCUUCUGCCUCAGCCUCUGGAGUAGCUGGGAUUACAGAUGCCUGCCACCACGUCUGGCUAAUUUUUUGUAUUUUUAGUAGAAAAGGGGUUUCACCAUAUGGCCAGACUGGUCUCGGAACUCCUGAUCUCAGGUGAUCCAACCUCCUCAGCCUCCCAAAGUGCUGGGAUUACAGGCGUGAGCCACCGAGCCCGGCUGAGGUCAAUGUUAUUAUUACCAUCUCAUUUUAUAGAUAAGAAAAGAGGCUUGGAGAGGCUCUGGGAUGUCCCCGCAGUCACACAGGCAGUAGGUGGGAGAGCCAGAUUUGAGAAAUAAUAUGAAUUUCAUAUGGCUUAGACACUAGUGGGGGAAAUGAACAUCAACAACCAGUGAUCACAGUGAUCUCUAGAUGCCCUUGGGAAAUGCUGGCCUGGACACACCUGAGUAAGGUCUUGGUGGUGCAGAGCCUGGAAAAAUGAGCACUGAGGCAUUAGCACCUAGCUCAGACUCAUCUGCAAGAACUGCCACUUAUCAGCUGUGAGAGCUUAGGCACCUUACUUCCCCAGGGGCUGAAGACCCCUCCUGACAGAGGGGACAAACUAACCCUGCAAAUAUGCUGGCCUGGGCAAUACCCUGGUGGACAUGUUCAGUGCCUUUCCUUCCUCUUUCUUCUGUCUUCCCACAUGUUCGCUGCCUAAUGGUGGGGGUCUGCCCCCAUCCACCAUCCUGAGACUGAGGGCCACCCUGCCCACCAGCCUGAGGGUGGAGUGUGCCCUGCCCACCAGCCUGAGGGUGGAGUGUGCCCUGCCCACCAGCCUGAGGGUAGGAUAUGACCCUGCCUGUAGAGGGCUUCACCAGGAGUCCCAGGCCCACCCACCCUGUACCUGAGGAGUGGAAAAUCAGAAACCCUAUUUUUUCACGAACUGCACAUGCCUCCCUCAUCACCAGCACACGCGAUUUGCAGGGAGAGCAGACUUUUUUUUUUCUUCCUGAGACGGGGUCUUGCUCUGUCUCCCAGGCUAGAGUGCAGAGGCAUAACCACAGCUCACUGCAGCCUUGACCUCUCAGGCUGAAGCGAUCCUCUCACCUCAGCCUCCCAGGUAGCUGGGACUACAGGUGCAUGCUACCAUGCCUUGCUAAUUUUUAAAUUUUUUUAUAGAGACACGGUCUCACUAUUUUGCCCAGGCUGGUCUCAAACUCCUGGGUUCAAGUGAUCCUCCCGCCUUAGCCUCCCAAAGUGCUGGGGUUACAGGUGCAAGCCACUGUGCCUGGCUAGAUUUUAGUAUUUUACCCAACUGAAUCUCUUUUGGAUUUUACUGCUCAGCCCCAAAGCACUGCUGGAAAGGGAUCAGGAAGAGAGGGGGAAAAGUUAGAUUUUGUGUGUCCAAACAGGUUCUUUUUCUUUCUUUUCUUUAGAGACAAGGUCUCACUAUAUGAGAGCUGGUCUCAAACUCUUAGGCUUAAGUGAUCCUUCUGCCUCAGCCUUCUGAGAAGCUGGUACUAUAGGAACAAGCCCCCAUGCCCAGCUCUCCAAACAGGUUAUUCUUAAAAUUAAAAACAAACAAAAGAAACCUAAAAGCAAAAAGCCAAAAGGAAGCACUCCAUGAGAAUGGGAGGCUUGCAGGUAUUAUAGGCAGAGGAAGCUGCUGUCCCUUGCAGGGCAAAGGCUGCAUACAGGCAAAGGCCCACAGUGUCAGGGCUGGGGGCACCCCCUCCCCCCAGUUUCUUUGGUCUCAUCUCUGCUAUCUAAUGUAAGCAUUUUAAUGUCACCUACAAAGGUACUCCUAGCACCCAUUUCUCAUGUUGAUGUUGUUUUCCAACACUCCGAGGCUUGGGCUCUGGAGCUCCCUGUGCUGUGAGCACGUUUCUGGGGACUCGGGUGCAGGGAGCCAGGCAGGCAGAGCCCUCAGGUUGGCUUUGGGCCCUCAGGGGUGCAUGUAUUGGCACUUCAGUGAUGUGUCUUGGUUCACCUGUCCAGGGUGCUAUGAGGUGCAUCUUCUGCAGGUGAGAGGCUGGCAACAGCCAGGCUUCCUUAUGCCUGGAGUAAGAAGGAGAGCAGGAUUUAGGCCCAGGUGCUCCUGGGUUUGGAACACAUGUUGCUGUUACAAGUUCCCUUUUAUAAGUGGAAUCAGUUUCCUUCUCAGUCAGGUGAGCUCAUGUUGCCAUAGCUCCUUUACCGAUAAAAUGUUAAGUGGAUGAUGUCAAGUGUGUAAAUGUUGUUAGAGGAAGAACCAAUCAUGCUGGGCUUCCCCAGGGCUGGAACAUCCUCUCUGAUGCUUCAUAUCAUCCCGGAAAGGAACAUCAGCUCUGGGUCAGGCAUCAGGGCUCUGCUCUGCAUGGCUGGGAGAGAUGGCAUCAGGUGGGGUGCAGUGAGGGAGCUGGGACCAAACUGCGGGUCUGAGGGACUGUGGGCUUCGGGAGGGCAGGAACAGAGGGAGGGAGGAACAGGCUAGUUCCAGAUGGCUGGAGGCUCAUCUCAGGAAAGUGGACCUCUCAUGCCACUGGAGGGCCUGGACAGAGGGUUAGCUGGCUGGGCCACUUCUGUCAUGACGGAGACCCAGAGAAGGGGCCAUCAGGCUUGGAGAGGGAAGGUGAUGUUGCUCUUGGCAGUGUCAAUCAUUCAGGUCGAACCAAGCCUCAUGGGAGCGCUGGGGCUGCUCCUGCUGGGGAUCCCAGUUUUGGAUAAUGAUAAUUAACAUUCGCUGAGUGCUGCCUGUAAGCUGAGAACCCUGUACAUCUCAAAUAGAGCAUCUCCACAAUUCUCACUGUGGUUCUGAAAAAUAGGUGUUAUCAACCACCAUGCUUGAUAGACAGGGGGCAGAGAAAAUUGAAAUAACUUCCCCAAGGCCCGGUCACACAGUUAAAGGUGGGGAGCUGGGAUUUGAACCUGGUAGUCCAACUUCAGUGCUUGUCCUGGGUGGUGCCAUGUGCCUCUGUCUCCUUGGUGUCCAGAUAGCACCCACAAGCCUGGGUUUUACAGUCAUCACAGUCACUGGUGAGGCCCCUUGAAUCUGCAACUCUAGGAGGAACAGCAACGAGCUGGAGCAGAAAUGAGUGAGAAGCAUCAAGGGGGAUCAGUGCAGUAUGGCACAAAGCACUGCCAUGGGACAAUUCUGCAAAUGAAAUCACACUGGGAAGACAGAUGUUAACUUGGACCAUUCCUGGGAAAUCAGAACAUGGAACAAGAGGAGUAGUUGUGGCCUGUUUGGAAUUGACUUUGUCCUUGCAUUGGCUCCUUGGGUUCU